rnacentral:rRNA from 1 species
AUGAAGGAGAGCAGCACGGCAGCUGACCACACCAUACGUGUAGAGGAGAUGGAGCCUCAGGUUUUCAGGGCGAUGCUUGAGUUCAUUUACAAUGACUCUGAGCCGAAGGACAAGGACAACGAUGACGACGCGAUGUGGCGGUGGCAGCACCUGCUCGCCGCGGCGGAUAGGUAUGAUAUGCAGCGGCUGAAGCUCAUCUGUGAAGAUAAGCUGUGUGGGUUCAUUGAGGUGAAUAGCACCACUGCCAUCCUGUCACUAGCUGAGCAACACUGCUGUGACGGGCUGAAGAAGGGGUGCUACUUUUUCCUGGGCACGCUGGGAAACCUGAGGGCUGUCGCGGCCACGGAUGGCUUCGAUGAUCUCAUCAGGAACCACCCCUCCGUUAUGAAGGAGCUGAUUACCAUGCUUGCGCCUUUUUGA